rnacentral:rRNA from 1 species
AUUGAACGCUGGCGGCAGGCUUAACACAUGCAAGUCGAGCGAGCGGCGGACGGGUGAGUAAUGUCUGGGAAACUGGCUGAUGGAGGGGGAUAACUACUGGAAACGGUCGCUAAUACCGCAUAACAUCAGAUGUGCCCAAAUGGGAUUAGCUAGUUGGUGGGGUAAUGGCUCACCUAGGCGACAAUCCCGAGCUGGCCUGAGAGGAUGACCAGCCACACUGAGACUAGGAGACGGGCCAGACUCCUACGGGAGGCAGCAGUGGGGAAUAUUGCACAAUGGGCGCAAGCCUGAUUCAGCCAUGCCGCGUGUGUGAAGAAGGCCUUCGGGUUGUAAAGCACUUUCGGCGAGGAGGCGUUACUCGAAGAAGAAGCACCGGCUAACUCCGUGCCAGCAGCCGCGGUAAUUC